UCAAAGGUCCUUUUCAGGGCCACCACAUAAUUAUAAGAGGCUGAUG
rfam:Heterocephalus glaber contig179875, whole genome shotgun sequence.